AGCGGAGGAAAAGAAACCAACAGGGAUUGCCUUAGUAGCGGCGAGUGAAGCGGCAAAAGCUCAAAUUUGAAAUCUGGCACUUUCAGUGUCCGAGUUGUAAUUUGAAGAAGGUAUCUUUGGGUCUGGCUCUUGUCUAUGUUUCUUGGAACAGAACGUCACAGAGGGUGAGAAUCCCGUGCGAUGAGAUGUCCCAGACCUAUGUAAAGUUCCUUCGAAGAGUCGAGUUGUUUGGGAAUGCAGCUCUAAGUGGGUGGUAAAUUCCAUCUAAAGCUAAAUAUUGGCGAGAGACCGAUAGCGAACAAGUACAGUGAUGGAAAGAUGAAAAGAACUUUGAAAAGAGAGUGAAAAAGUACGUGAAAUUGUUGAAAGGGAAGGGCUUGAGAUCAGACUUGGUAUUUUGUAUGUUACUCUCUCGGGGGUGGCCUCUACAGUUUACCGGGCCAGCAUCAGUUUGAGCGGUAGGAUAAGUGCAAAGAAAUGUGGCACUGCUUCGGUAGUGUGUUAUAGUCUUUGUCGAUACUGCCAGCUUAGACUGAGGACUGCGGCUUCGGCCUAGGAUGUUGGCAUAAUGAUCUU
rnacentral:rRNA from 1 species